rnacentral:rRNA from 1 species
GAGGAAGGUGGGGAUGACGUCAAGUCCUCAUGGCCCUUACGGGCUGGGCUACACACGUGCUACAAUGGUGGUGACAGUGGGCAGCGAGACCGCGAGGUCGAGCUAAUCUCCAAAAGCCAUCUCAGUUCGGAUUGCACUCUGCAACUCGAGUGCAUGAAGUUGGAAUCGCUAGUAAUCGCAGAUCAGCAUGCUGCGGUGAAUACGUUCCCGGGCCUUGUACACACCGCCCGUCACACCAUGGGAGUUGGUUCUACCCGAAGGUAGUGCGCUAACCGCAAGGAGGCAGCUAACCACGGUAGGGUCAGCGACUGGGGUGAAGUCGUAACAAG